rnacentral:rRNA from 1 species
CUUAGGCGUGUGACUGCGUACCUUUUGUAUAAUGGGUCAGCGACUUAUAUUCUGUAGCAAGGUUAACCGAAUAGGGGAGCCGAAGGGAAACCGAGUCUUAACUGGGCGUUAAGUUGCAGGGUAUAGACCCGAAACCCGGUGAUCUAGCCAUGGGCAGGUUGAAGGUUGGGUAACACUAACUGGAGGACCGAACCGACUAAUGUUGAAAAAUUAGCGGAUGACUUGUGGCUGGGGGUGAAAGGCCAAUCAAACCGGGAGAUAGCUGGUUCUCCCCGAAAGCUAUUUAGGUAGCGCCUCGUGAAUUCAUCUCCGGGGGUAGAGCACUGUUUCGGCAAGGGGGUCAUCCCGACUUACCAACCCGAUGCAAACUGCGAAUACCGGAGAAUGUUAUCACGGGAGACACACGGCGGGUGCUAACGUCCGUCGUGAAGAGGGAAACAACCCAGACCGCCAGCUAAGGUCCCAAAGUCAUGGUUAAGUGGGAAACGAUGUGGGAAGGCCCAGACAGCCAGGAUGUUGGCUUAGAAGCAGCCAUCAUUUAAAGAAAGCGUAAUAGCUCACUGGUCGAGUCGGCCUGCGCGGAAGAUGUAACGGGGCUAAACCAUGCACCGAAGCUGCGGCAGCGACGCUGAUGCGUUGUUGGGUAGGGGAGCGUUCUGUAAGCCUGCGAAGGUGUGCUGUGAGGCAUGCUGGAGGUAUCAGAAGUGCGAAUGCUGACAUAAGUAACGAUAAAGCGGGUGAAAAGCCCGCUCGCCGGAAGACCAAGGGUUCCUGUCCAACGUUAAUCGGGGCAGGGUGAGUCGACCCCUAAGGCGAGGCCGAAAGGCGUAGUCGAUGGGAAACAGGUUAAUAUUCCUGUACUUGGUGUUACUGCGAAGGGGGGACGGAGAAGGCUAUGUUGGCCGGGCGACGGUUGUCCCGGUUUAAGCGUGUAGGCUGGUUUUCCAGGCAAAUCCGGAAAAUCAAGGCUGAGGCGUGAUGACGAGGCACUGCGGUGCUGAAGCAACAAAUGCCCUGCUUCCAGGAAAAGCCUCUAAGCAUCAGGUAACAUCAAAUCGUACCCCAAACCGACACAGGUGGUCAGGUAGAGAAUACCAAGGCGCUUGAGAGAACUCGGGUGAAGGAACUAGGCAAAAUGGUGCCGUAACUUCGGGAGAAGGCACGCUGAUAUGUAGGUGAAGUCCCUCGCGGAUGGAGCUGAAAUCAGUCGAAGAUACCAGCUGGCUGCAACUGUUUAUUAAAAACACAGCACUGUGCAAACACGAAAGUGGACGUAUACGGUGUGACGCCUGCCCGGUGCCGGAAGGUUAAUUGAUGGGGUUAGCGCAAGCGAAGCUCUUGAUCGAAGCCCCGGUAAACGGCGGCCGUAACUAUAACGGUCCUAAGGUAGCGAAAUUCCUUGUCGGGUAAGUUCCGACCUGCACGAAUGGCGUAAUGAUGGCCAGGCUGUCUCCACCCGAGACUCAGUGAAAUUGAACUCGCUGUGAAGAUGCAGUGUACCCGCGGCAAGACGGAAAGACCCCGUGAACCUUUACUAUAGCUUGACACUGAACAUUGAGCCUUGAUGUGUAGGAUAGGUGGGAGGCUU